rnacentral:sRNA from 1 species
GAGGAGGAGGAGGAUGGAGGCGGUGGUGUUCGUCUUCUCUCUCCUCGAUUGUUGCGCGCUCAUCUUCCUCUCGGUCUACUUCGUAUCCUUGCCUGAGGCAGGCGGACGCCUUGCCGGGGGACACGGCUGAGGGUGGGCCAGUUGGGCACCCGGGCAGGUGUGUGGGACUAGGGAGGCGCCCGGCGGCGGGCAUGGGCUCCCUGGGAGCUGGCCUGGCCGGGGCGGUGGCGCGGGCCCCGGAGCGGGUAGGAGAGGCUGGUUGCCCUACCCGACGGGCCCUGCUGCCCUGCACGCACUUGCCCUGCCUGGGCUGCUGGCCGCCCCUCACUCGGGUCCGAGUGGGCCUCUCCGGGCGCGCCCCGUCUCGGCCUGCCCGCCUGCUCUCCGCUCGUCCCCGCGGCGCCCGGACCAGCCCUGCCUGAGCCACGGCCGCCCUCGGGAGAGAAGCGUCGCCGUUUUUCUGGGAGAGGCCCUGCGCCGUGCUCUUCGUCGGAUAUUGGGGGUCCCAAGGGCGGUCGCUUGCGACAGUCGGGUGCCGGGAUAAGUGCGGGCCAUUUGCCUCCUCCUGUUCCCCACGCAACACCCCCGGCACCCGCCCCUUUGUUCUGGCGGGUGUUAGUACUUGCAGGGACCUUUCACAUCCAGGAGUUGACUCAUUCGCCAAAGGAGCGAAGUUGCUUCCUUCACUGUGCCGUUUUGUAUGGGUAAUUCCAGAAUUGAUUGGCCAUACCAUUGUCACUGUAUUACUGCUCAUUUCAUUGCACUGGUUCAUCUUCCUUCUCAACUUACCUGUUGCCACUUGGAAUAUAUAUCGAUACAUUAUGGUGCC